rnacentral:sRNA from 1 species
GCUGGUCUCGAACUCCUGACCUCAAGUGAUCUGCCUACCUUGGCCUCCCAAAGUGCUGGGAUUACAGGCCUAAGACACCAUGCCCAGCCAAGAAUUUUCUCUUCAUUUUUAACUCCCAGAGGGAAAGGUAGAACACUGAAAGUGUUGAUCUUGCAUUGGAGACGGGAGGGAGGCACCACCUCCAAAAGCAGGCCAGUGAGAGCAUGUCUGCCCUGUUCCAGGCCGUGCGCCUGGAGAGCGCCUGGGCGGAUCGGGUCCGGUACAUGGUGGUGGUGUACAGCAGCGGGCGCCAGGACACCGAGGAGAAUAUCUUGCUGGGAGUGGACUUUUCCAGUAAGGAAAGUGGGUUCAGCGUGAGCACGGCAGGAAGGAUGCACAUAUUUAAGCCUGUGUCUGUCCAGGCCAUGUGGUCUGCCCUGCAGGUGCUUCACAAGGCCUGCGAAGUGGCCCGGAGGCACAACUACUUCCCCGGGGGUGUAGCUCUCAUCUGGGCUACCUACUAUGAGAGCUGCAUCAGCUCUGAGCAGAGCUGCAUCAAUGAGUGGAACGCCAUGCAGGACCUGGAGUCCACGCGGCCCGACUCCCCCGCACUGUUUGUGGACAAGUAAGUGAGGCGCCUCCGGUC